rnacentral:rRNA from 1 species
AUAGGGAGUCGGACCUGCCCAGUGAAGCAUUUUUAACGGCCGCGGUACUCUGACCGUGCAAAGGUAGCAUAAUCAUUUGCCCUAUAAUUGAGGGCUAGUAUGAAUGGUUUGACAAGAAUAAAGCUGUCUCUUUUUAAUUAUAUAGAAUUUUAUUUUUAGGUGAAGAAGCCUAAAUUUAAUUAAAAGACAAGAAGACCCUAUCGAGCUUUAAAUAAAUUGAAAGGUUUACGGAAAUAUAUAUUAAAACAAUAUCUGUCAAAAAUUUUGGUUGGGGCGACAAAGGAACAUAAAAAGCUUCUUUUAUAUAUAUCAGACUAAGCGAGUUGUGAUCCAAUAAAUUUUGAUUAAAGAAAUUAGUUACCGUAGGGAUAACAGCAUUAUCUUUUUUGAGAGCUCAUAUCGAAAAAAAGGUUUGUGACCUCGAUGUUGGACCAGAAUGUCCUAAAGAUGCAGAAGUCUUUAAGGGUUGGUCUGUUCGACCAUUAAAAUUCU